rnacentral:lncRNA from 1 species
AAACUUUCCAAGUUGAAGAAGUUGUUGGGAAUGAUAACGUGUGCACAUUGUGUGAGGAGUUUGCUGACCAGGCACUCGAUUACCUUAAUGAAAACAAGACCCAGACGGAGAUCAUUGAAUACCUACAUCAGACCUGCCAUCAGUUGCGCUCAUUCAACCAGCAGGUAGUCACCUUUACGAACUUUCUAAUUUUGACAUAAGUUUUGUUGGAAACUCGUACACUGAAGGCUGCUCUGCGUGGACAGUUGAACAUGUUAUUGCAAAUUUACAAGAAGUUUAUUGAGUAUUAAUACACUAUGAAAUAUAUUGCUCUGAGAAGCUUUGUAGAGUUAUGAUGAGCUAUGACGCAUUGUAUCUAAACCCUAAACCAAAAUCAUUUGGGGAUGUUUAACACUAUUUUUGUUCUCCCAACUCCCCUACUUUAAGAAAGAACUUCCUUAACGUUUUGUCAUUUUUUUGUGGGACAGUGUGUCACUUUGGUGGACUAUUAUGCUCCUCUCUUCUUCUUAGAGGCCACCUCUCUACAACCUUCUGAGUUCUGUCGGAAGGUCAAUCUCUGUCAGCAAGUGGCUUUGUUUUCUUCACAAUUCAA